GUGUCCUCCGGCGACACCCAAUGAAAUUGGUAUCAAACAGAGAAGAUUGGCAAGGCCCAGUGCAGGAAUGAUGCGCACAAAUCGAGAAAUUAUUCACAUUUUC